rnacentral:rRNA from 1 species
GACGAACGCUGGCGGCGUGCUUAACACAUGCAAGUCGAACGGAAAGGCCCUGCUUUUGUGGGGUGCUCGAGUGGCGAACGGGUGAGUAACACGUGAGUAACCUGCCUUUGACUUUGGGAUAACUUCAGGAAACUGGGGCUAAUACCGGAUAGGCGCUCCUGCUGCAUGGUGGGGGUUGGAAAGUUUGGGCGGUUGGGGAUGGACUCGCGGCUUAUCAGCUUGUUGGUGGGGUUGUGGCUUACCAAGGCUUUGACGGGUAGCCGGCCUGAGAGGGUGACCGGCCACAUUGGGACUGAGAUACGGCCCAGACUCCUACGGGAGGCAGCAGUGGGGAAUAUUGCACAAUGGGCGGAAGCCUGAUGCAGCAACGCCGCGUGCGGGAUGACGGCCUUCGGGUUGUAAACCGCUUUCGCCAGGGACGAAGCGAGAGUGACGGUAAUUGGAGAAGAAGCACCGGCUAACUACGUG